AUAUGUUGAAAAAGAGAAAAGAAGUACUAAAAGAAGUGAUAGCCUUGAGUUCAAAAAGAAUUGCAAAACUUUGUGAUGAUUUAACAAUGUUCUCUAGUCCACUAUGUUUCAAAAGAAUAAGGGUUAGCUUAUGGAAAUGUUCUUUGACCAAUAGGGGGAUCUAACUCCAAGUUUUUCUACUACUUAUCCAAAAAUGUCACCAUCCACCCUAGCCAAGCCACGUUAUAACCCUAAAAGACCUCUAAUGUGUGUGCACAAAGUGAACCGAAUGAAUUCUUAGACUCCUUGCAAAAUUAUUGUUGACUUGCAUUGAUGUGUUGAUUUGAGUGAAGUACCAAAAACUGGAGAGUGCAUGUAAGUAGUGUGAUGUGAUCAUAGAGCCGUGGUUGAAAAGUGUGAACUACUUGAAAAUGUCUUGCGGGAACGAUUGUGCGAUUGAGCAUUGUUUGC
rnacentral:lncRNA from 1 species